ensembl:lncRNA
AUUAGGCACAGCUAACAAUAAGAACUCACAGCUAACAAUAAGAACUGGCAUGACAAAAUACUCAGCUACUUCUCAAUGAAAGACUUCCAAUCAGCCAUUGCUUUCCUGUAAGCACUAGUGGCAUCUUGAUCGUGGAUUGUGUCACCAAUUACCUCUGUUUGAAUAACUGACAGGAGCGUUGCAACACAUUUUGGAUAUCUUAAGUGCAAAGUGUAGUAAUAUGCCAUUAACACCAACAUCCCGUCUGAGAAAUCUUCCUGAGGGAGGGUGGUCACAGGUACAUUACCCACAGCCACAAUGGUGGUUGAGCCAUCAGAAAGCAGAACUGGGGAGGAGAGAGGAUGCUUUUCCAGGUACAGGGCAGGGUCUUCGCCUGACUGGAACAGAAUAAAAAGAACAAUGUGUAAAGUGAGAAGACAUAAAAAUGUAUUGAAAGUCAAGUGCAUUUUUAUGUUUCUGGGAUGAAUUAAUGGAUGAAUUAAUCAAAGGUUUUUUGUUUAAUCAAACAUUUCUUGGUAUUCCUUUCUGUGAACACCAUUUGAGGGACACUAGAAACACUUUUUUGCAAAAAGUAUCUGUGAUUGUGAACUUAGGGUGUAUUGUUAUGUGAACAUGCACAACAAAUGUGAGAAAAUAAGAGGACAGUAAGGAAUCAACACACAAAAAUGUUUUUACCUUCAGGACAUGAAGAAGUGCCUCACAGCUAUUUCCAAGCUUCUUUGGUGGUGAAGUUGGUGAGGGGAAAAGGGAUGGGAGUGCAUUGAAGAGGGCAAGCGUGAACUCCACUAAAGAAUAGAAAGAUUGGUCUGAAUGGUCUGAAUAUGGUAUAAAUCAAAAUACAUUUGCAUAUGGAACCGCAACUUACCUCCACGGACAUCCAAUGGAAAGGGGGGUUUCAGGGCUUUCUUCCACACACCAUAGAACUGCACCUUGGCACAAAAGUCUGCCCAUCUUCCUUUCACUUCCUCGAUGUAUCUGCUGUUGGUGCCACCUACUAUGCGCCGCAGCUCAUCCAUUGCCUAAGACAGCAUUGUGCACAGUUAUUCAACCAUUGGACAUUUAGAACACAGAUGGAUAGACAGUAAUUCAAGUGCAAGUAGUGGAAAAAAAACAUACAUUUCGAACAUCUCUAAAGCAUGGAUAUGCCUCAAAGAUUUUUGCAGGUCGGUCUUCUUCCCUUGUA